UUAACAUUUCUAAAAAGAAAAUUUUAUUUAAAACUAUUUAAUAUAUAAACCGGCCGAUUUCCGCACGCCGGCGGAAAUAACAACGAAAAUAAAUAUAAUAGGACGAAGAUAAACAGCGGAACGGUCGCCAACGGCGGUAAAUAUUUAUUAAUUAUAUUAAUUAUUUUUAUAAUAAUCAUAUUUUUGCGGAUCCGAUUCGUAAUGAUUUAAAUAUUUAAUUCCUUUUUCGUACUGAAUAUAAUAUUAGGGCGCGGCGGUAAAAUAUUGGGGCCAUAUUAGUUAAAACGGUAAAACGGACCGCGUAACGGGGUUUUGUUAGAAACGGCGGCGCGUAUUUUGGCAAAAUAUAAUAAAAACGGAAAAAAGAAAUUCCGAGUAGGCGUUUGGGCGGCGAAAAUAAAAAACGCAAAAAGGAUUACGGUAUAAUUAAUUCAAACGUUUGUAAAAACCAAAACGGGGCCAAAAAUUAAAAAUAAAGAUACGGUUAAAAAUACCGUAUACGGGCCAAACAGUGCGGUAAAAAUAAAUAAAUAAAUACCGUAUCAGGCGGGGUUCGGGACGCGUAUAAAUAAAAUAGUAAAAAUAAAAAUUGCGGGCGUUAGUUUCGCGUUAAAUAAUAGCGGAUUCGCGUUCAAUUUCUAAUAACUAUUAAUAAUAUUUAUUAGCGCGUUUUUAAUUAAAUUAAUUAACGCCCAUUCGAAUUACGGGCCGGAAAAAAAUAAAUUCUUAUUCUUAUAUAUUUUAAAUUUUAGGUGAAAUUAAUAAAAGAUGGUUGGGCGAUUUUAUUACCGUCGUUAUAAUAUACCAAAAAUUAAACGUUGCUGCCGUAAAAAUUUGAAAUCGCGCCAAAAAGAUUUUCCUCCCAAAACCAAUUAUAUUUACGUAUAUAAACGGUAUAAAUAAAAUUAAAUUUUAUUAUUAUCUUAAUAUUAUACCCCGAUUUGAUAAUUUUAAUAUUAACGUUAUAUAUUACCAAUAUUUUGGAAGGAAUAAUAUAGCACCCGUUGAUUAUAACAUAAUAUAAAUUAUUUAAUUAACGACGCAUGAAAAAAUUCCGGAUAUAUAAUUUUUCGGUAUAAUUGCAAAACAAUCUUUUAUAUUUAUUACACCAAUUUUAAAACGUUGCGGCAAAAUAGGGGCGAUAAUUUAAAAUGUUAAUAAUUUUCGUGAACUGAAUAUAGAAAAAACAAACCGGAAUAUACUAUUUAAACGCGGCGUAUUUUUCGUCGUUGGAAUUAUUUUCGAACUUAUUUAAACCGGUAACGCGACGGACACGUUAUAAUUACAGUUGAUAAAAAACGCGUCCAGGGUAAUACCAAAACGAAUUAUUAUAAAGCUUUUAAAAUUACUAAUAAAAAUAAUAACGGUAUUGCAAAAAAUAAAACUGUUGAAUUGUUUAAAAUUAAUAAUAACGGGGAAAAAAGGAGAUAAUUCGACCGGAUUGGCAAAACUACGGUUAAAAGUAAACGAAAAUAUAAUAAUAACGAAAAAACAAAUGUAAUUGGAUCGCAAAAAAAAUUAAUUUAAAAAACCCAGGGUACGGGGAAAAUACGAACGGAAAAAUAAUUAUAUUAAAAAAAAAACAUAAUAAAAAAGAAUUUAAUUUGGGGGGAAAAAAGACGCAUAUAACAAAAAUAUAAAAAAAGAAUUUUUCUACCGGUUAGCGGUAAAACCGCAAACGAAAAAAUCAUAUAACGGGGCAAAUAAAAACGAAAUGAAAAAAAAACGAAAACAAAAAAAAAAAAAUAAACGGGGUAAAAACGGGGCUAAAAUGAAAAAAAAAACAAAACAGAAAAAAAAGGAAAGCGGAUAAAAUUGGGGGAAAAAAUCCAAUAACGGAAUGUAUUUUUCUAAUUUAAAAAAAACGAUAAACGCGAUAAAUAUAAUAUUAUCCGGCAAUAUAUAGUAAUUGUACCGUUUAUAUUAUAUUUGAAAUACGAAAUUACCCCGAAACCAAUAAUAUAUGGUUACGGGACCUAAAUAAAUCCGCGGAUAUAAUUACGCCGCCCCGAAAUCCACGUCGCGCCCCAGGGGAAAUAACGGGGUAAUUUACGCACUCCCCGCCGCGAUCCAAAAAAACUGCCGAAUAAAAUUUCGUUGGGGGGAAAAGGAGGCGGUAAAAUAAAAACCCGGGCCUCGGGGCGGGAAAAUUACGGCUUAUAUAAUUUUUGGACCGGGAAAAAGGGGUUAUAUUAGAAAUUUGUAUUAAUUAUACGUAUUUCCGUAUAUAAAUAAUAGCGGGAAUUAUGUAAUAAUUAACGUUAUAUAUAAAGGAAAAAGAAUUGCCAAGGCUUUUUCCGUACUUUUUUCUUCCUUUUCCUUUUACGAUAAUAAUAAUAUUUUUCGGGUACCUAACCGUCGUAUAAUUAUAAACCUACCCUAUAAUAAAUAUAAUUAUUUUGAAAAUUAUUUCCUUUUAUUUUUUAAUAUUUGUAACGUUAUUUAAAUUAUUAUUUUAUUUUUUGACAUCUUUCUUAUUUUCCCUGGUUAUUACAAAUUGGUUAUUUCCGCGUUUGUCCUUUUUUUAAACGACUGCGGAUUUACCGUUCGCAGAAACGUUGCUUUUUCCAGUAUAAUUAAAAGGCCGGUAUUUUGGUUUCCAAUAUAUAUAAUUAUUUUUAUUUGUAAAAAUACGCGAUUUUUAUUAUUGUUUGUUUUUAAGCGGGUAACGGUUUUUAUUACAGUUUCCUUUUCUAUAUAUAAUUUAUAUUUUCGGUUAACGAAAAACGUAUUACAAAUUGUAUAUUGUUUUUCCAAGCUUAAUAUUAUCGUAAUUUGGUUUAAUCACAAUUCCGUAAAAACAACCGCCGGAUUUGCAACGAUUAUUUUGAAUUUUUAAUCGUUUUUAAUAGUUAUUAAAAUCGCGGCAAUUAAAUAUUUUUUUAUAUACAAAUUUGGGUUCCAGUAUUUGUAAGUAUUUUUGUAAUUUGUUUACAAUAAUUGUUAAAAUUUUGAAAUUCCGUUUACCCUAUGAAUUAAAUAUUAUUUCCACGGUUUUAUAAUUUAUCAAAUUUUAAUAUUUGUAAUAUAUUUACCGUAUAUAUAUAUAUAUAUUUUUUUCAUCGGUUUUCAAAUUUUAUAUAUAUUUUUUUAUACUUAAUAUAAAUCUUUAUAUUUCUAUCUUUUGGCGUUUUUUGUUAAGACUUGUAAAACUAAUAUAUAUAUAUAUGGGAUAAUUGUAUUUAUUAUAUUUCGUAAAUAAUUAUAAAUUUUCUAAUUUUAUCGUUCAAAAUAUAAUUUGAAUUCCCUAAAUAAUCGUUAAUUUAAAUUGUUUAAAAACGCCUUUACCAUAUACCGUUCCAUUCUGCUAUUCGGAAUUUGGAAUAAAAUUAAAUAAUUAUAAAUAUUAUAUGUCGCGUAUUAAACCACCGCAAUUAGCCACAAAGGCGUGCAUUCCAACUUUUAACAAAACAUUUAACCACAUUAGAUUUAAAUCGGGCUGAAACCAAUUAAAUUAUCAACAGCGGUUUUGUUUCCGCUUUUUGUUAAAAAUAAAGCAUUUAUUUAUUUAACCUAACGCAUUUUUUAUUUAAAUACGAGUUUCUAACGCGUAUAAUAUUUUGUAAUUUCUUUAUCUAGGAUUAAAUUGGUAUUGUACGGAAAUUUGUUCGAUUAUAUAAACCCAAUUGAGUAAAUAUAUAUAUUUAAAUAAAAUAAACAAAAAACAACGUUUACAAUAAUUAUAAAUCCGGAUAACAUUUAAUCCAAAAAAUUAUAUAAAUCGUUUAUUUUAUUGGCAAAUUAUAUAGUUUAUACGCUUAAUAUAUUCCUGUAAUAUUUGCUAUUAAAUUUCUUUUUUACCAAUAUUUCCGCAAAUUAUAUAUUUGCGCAUUAUAUUUUAUUUUUCGGAAAAAGGAAUUUACUAUUAUUAUAUUCCGCACGUCGAAGAAAUUCUAUGUAAAUUAACACCACCAAAAAAUCUUUUUUCGAGGAUUUUUGGAACGAAAAAACUAAUUUAAAAAAACGUUAAAAGUUGGAUGCAAAUAACGAAUUCGACGAAAAAUUACCAAUAUAUUAAAAGUUCGGGAAAUGGUAUAAUAAUAUAACGUUCGUUCCAAUUAUUUCUGACGUAAUUAAAUAUUGUAUCGACGUUUCCUCUAUAAUUACCAAAUUAAUUAAAACAAAUCUCAUAAAAUAAAAAGACGUUAUAAUAUAAUAAAAAUAAACGACGGAUACCCAAUUUUUCCUCCGUAUUUCUUAACUUUUAAUUAAAUGUUUGGAAAAUGUAAAAAUAAAUAUAUUUCGACGUAAAUACCGGGAUUAGUUCGAUAAGAUUAAAUAAAAAAUAUAAACCCGGAAAUUUAAAUAUAAACUAUAUAAAAAGAAUUUAUAUCUGUUAAAAUAUAUAAUAUACCGGAAAUCCAAAAUAUAACCGGGGUUGUUAAUUUAUUAUCGGCAACCACGGCGGCAAUAUCAGUUUUUUGGGGAAUUUACCAAUUCCACAAAGUAAAUAAAAUAAUAAUUAUGGAAAAACCAUUUAUAAAUGUGGAAAAAUAUUUCAAGAUUUUCGGAAAAUAUACAUAAUUAAAAGUAUUUAACCGAUGAAAUCCACGUCCAUUUCCGGUAUUUAUAAUAAUAACAAAAAAUAAUUUGCAAAAGCAUUUGAACGAAAAUAAUUUGAUUUACAAAAGAUUAGUAUAACAACACCAAUAUUUAUAUAAAAAUACCAAUAAUGAAGAAUAUUGCUAAAAACCAAAAGAAUUAUAACAAAUUCCAUUGGGUUUUAAUAGGUACGAAACAAUAGGGAAAAUGGAAAAACUUUAAUAUAAAUUCCGACGGAAAAAACGCAAUUUUACAAAAAUUGUCAAAAUUUAAAAAUUAUAAGCAAUUUCGCCAAAAUUUGGUACGGAAAUUCUGUUAACAAAAGAUUUCAACGGGGAUUUUAAAUUUGUAAAACAAAGUUCGAGGAUAUAAAAAAAUCACCAACAAAUUUCGAACAAAUUUAUAAAUUAUAUCCUUAUAUUAUAUAGAGUAUUUAAAAUACCGGAAUUGGUAGUCGAAAUAUUUGCAAUUGAAAAAAAUAUUUAUUUUUUGCCAAUAAUAUUAUUAUUAAUAAUAAAAACGCAAUAUAUAUUAGUAAUCUAAUAUUAUUAAUGGACGAAAAAAUAUUUUGUCCAAUAAAUUUUAUUAAUUUAAUCGCAAGCGGUAUAUUUACGUUGCAAAUUUAAAAAUAUAACCGCAAAACUUGUGAUAAUUUAUUUAAUGGAAAGAGUUUAAUACUAGAGGAAAAUGUCUUAAUUCUAAAGUUCCACAUUAAUAUAAUUUCCGAAAUAUUAACUGAUAAAUAUAAACUAUAAUUUUUAUAAUUGAGUUUUUUUUAAAAUACGGCCCAAUUUACGCGAAUACGUUAAUUUUACAGCUUGAAAAAUAAGAAAACCUAGCUUUUUUCAAUAUAAACUAAUACCGUACAAUUCUUUUACCUUUCCAACUUUAACUUCUUUUUCGGAAAUCGAAAUUAUCGUUAUAAUAAUUAUAUAUAAUAUAAUAAAACGGUAUAAAAAGAUUUCUAAUUAAUAUUAUAAACCUUUGAAUUAAAAAUUAAAAUAACACGCAUUUGAUAUUUACGCGUUAAUUAUUCAAAAUAAUAAACGUUAGGACGGUUAAUAUGAAAUGUAAAAAUGGUAGAGAUUAUGGAUAAUAUUUGUAUAAUUUGCGAAGAUUGCGCGGAAAUAUACGCAAACCAAAUAAUUUUACGGCGAACCCUAAAAGAUUGCCCCUAUUGAUUGUUUUGGGAAACAAUUUGGAUUUAUAUAUAUACCCCCAAAAAUAUAACGGAACCAAAUAUUUAUUAGUAAUUAUAUUCUUUUUUUGCGGAUUAAUUUAUAUUAUUUUUGUAUAAUUUCUUUUGGGUUUUGAAUUUUUUAAUAUUAUUAAAAAUUUCGGGAAAUGGGUUCGGAAAUAACACGGUUGUAUAAUUUGCAAAAUGCGGAGCGAGAUAAAUUUGGUAAUAUCAAACUAAUUCUAAAACCUGAAAAAAAUAUAAUUUGGGUAACAGAAAAGUAUUUAAACUAAUAUUUAAUUUUGCAAAUAUAUAUAAACCAAACGGGAAGGUUAAACGAGCAAACCACAAAAUAUAAAUUAAAAUUUUGGUAAUAUUAUUAGGAGUAUAUUUUUCCAUUAAUUUGUAACCAAAAACAGCGAAAACGGCCGCUUGGUUAUAUAAUAAGUUAUUUUGCGCAAAAUCUUAAUUUAAAUUAUGGAUUCAAAUUUCAAAUAAAUAAAUAACCACGCAUUUCUAAACUAUUCAUAAUUAUUUAUUAAUUAACGUGCAAACGCCAAAGAAAUAUAAAUAAGUACAAAUCUUUAUAAUAUAGCGUAAUUAUAUAUAAAUGCAACAUUCAUAUAAUAUAUAAAAAAUAAUUACAAAAAGCAAACCGCAAAUAUUAUAAAAUUAACGAAAGGAUUUAUAUUAAUUAUUUUGUAAAAUACGUUUUCAAUAUUAUUUACCGGAUUUGGGCUCUAAAUUUCCGUCGUGUACCUACAACUCGUGACGUAAUGUUUAAUAAAUUAUUAUUUGUUAAUUUUAUAAACGGAAAAACAGUUUUAUUUCCGAAAUAAUCUAAUUUACCGUCGAAAAAUUAAAUAAAAAAAGUUGAAUAUACCCAACACGUUGGAGAUUUUGUUAAAUUACUCGUCGAAAUAAAACAUACAAUUGUUUUUAUAAUUGCGUAACAAAUACCAAAAAAAACCAAAAAUUAAAUAUUGGUUUUAAAACCCCAAAAAUUAUAUUAAAAUCUUCUAAAGGUCCGGAAAAAGGAAUUUCAAUUAAAAAUAUUUUCGGAGAUUAAUACCGUAAUAUGGAUUAUUAUACCGUUAAAAAAAUAGAAAAACCAUUUUUACUAUUAUAAUAAAGUUAUCCAUUGAAAGCUUAAAUAAAUAUAAAAAUUCCAUGAUAAAUCGCACCAAAACGCCGCCGUAAACCAGCAAAAUCGAUAAAUAAAUAAUGGGGUCCGCCAAUAAAAAAAAACAAUUGGAAUAACGACAAAAUAUAAAAUAUAUUUGCAAUAUUCGCGCAUAUAAAUAAAACAAUUGCGAAACGGGAUUGGUAAAGUUUUGCGGAUAUCAUAUAUUAUAACCCAAGAUCCGAAAAUAUGCAAAUUAUAAUAUAUAAUGUUUUCGCGGUUGCUACCAAUUUUUUUAAAACAAUUAAUUAAUUCCAAAAAAUAAAAAAACAGGUUUUAAUAUAUAUAACGUGGAGGGCUUUAAAUAUUCGAACAAAUUCCCGCCACCAUCCAAAAAUUAUAAAACCAUAUUUAAAUAUUUAUGAAAAAACGAUUUUAAAUACGCGAUAAACGCGGAAAUAGGCUAUUCCCACGUUAAAAGAUUUUACAAAAAAAUUCCAUUUACAAAAUAUCCGAAAAGAAUUAAAUUAAUAUUAUUUAGAUGAGUUUUUUUAAUAUUAAUUUAACCAGGACGGUUAUUUAAUUACAUGCAAAAUACAAAUUUGCGUCAAAAACGAUUUUCAAAAAUUAUAAAUGGAAAUAUAUAUAAUAAUAUUCGGGGUUAACUUAUUUCGCACGGUAUUGGUAAUAAUUGCGGAAGGAAAUAUAAAAACAAAACAAACAAAUAUAAAAAAGACCUAGUUUAAUACCAAAUUCGUUAAAAACCAAAAACCAAUAUAUUAUUACCUGCCCCCAAAAUAUAAAAAAACAAAUAUAUUUAUAUUUUUGCUAAGAAUUUGAUAUAGUAGAAAAAGUCGGUUCUGUUAUAAUAUUAGCGUUUUUCUAAUAUUUUCCACAAUUUUAACCGAAAAUCCAACGCAAAAAAGAUAUUUAUUUUAUUCCAAAAAUUAUAAAAUUAUUACUAUUUUUUAUAUUUAUAAUUUCCCAAUAAUUUAUUAUAAAAAAUAAAAAAUAGGGGUAAUCUUUAUAUCCGUUUUUGAAAAAUACAAUUUCCCGCCAAUUGAAAAUUUGCGAUUGGUUUUGGGGAUAAAAAUUAUUUAAAACCGAAAAUAACGGUGCAUUUAUUUUGCAUAUAAUUUAUAUAUAAAAGAAUUGGCGCAGAAAUACAAUUCGCACAAAAUGGACAAGCUUUUCCCCGCAAUAUUGUAUUUUAUUACAAGAUUGUUACCAAAUCAGGGCGAACCCGGAAAUAAAUAAUUUAUGCGGGUAUAUUAGGAAAAAACGGGAAAUUUAAUAUAUAUAUAAUUCUAAUAAUUUGUUUCGACGUUAUUUUCGCCGUUUUGAAAUUAUCCAGGUAUUUAACCAAUUUAUUACAAAAAUAUAUAAAUGCGGCAAAUUAAAUUAUACGCUACCUUUUUUCGACGCGUUUUUUAGUAAUUCGUUUCGGAUUUUGGGAAUUUUACGAAUUUUUAAUAAUUGCGUUUAAUAUAUCAUUUACCAAUUUAGUUAAAAUUAUAUGUAAUUUAUAAAGUUUUUGAUAAUAUUUAUAGGCGCUAACAGGGAAUAUAGGGGUAAACCUUAGGUGCGACGUGGUAAAUAACUAAUAUUAAAAUGCGCUAAAUAUACUAAAAUGGAACGUUAUACGCAAAUGGAUAUUAAUAUAUUAGUUGGGGGAUUUUGCUUUAUCCUUUUAUAUAUUUUCCGAUAUCGAAAUGGGGGUCGGCACGCCAAAAAGGGUUCCGGUGCCGCAAAUAAAUUUCCGAAAAAUUAAUUUAUAUGGGUUUGUUAAAAAACGCCCUUAUUUAUUAAUAAACCAUUUCUGGGUUCGCACGCACUCGUUAAUUUGGUAAGAUUUUUUAACCUGGUACAGGGUAAUUAAUUCGUAAAUGCAGCGUGGAUAUUAAACCCGGUACAGGGUAAAUAACCCCAUUUGCUAAUUUUUAAAUCGCACUCCUACAUUUAACAAAUUAACGGAGUUCCAACCACUCCAUUUCGGCAUCAUAUAUAAUAAGUUCUAUAUAAAUAACAGCGGGCUUAUUACAUGCAAAAUAAUGCAUAUAAUUAACAGUUUUAUAUUUAUAAUCGGGGGUGGUUUAAUAUAUUAAAAGUUUUUAAAAUAAAUUAUAAUUUCACAUUAUCCACAGAAUUUAAAUUGUUAGUUUUGGAAUUAAUUGCAGAAAAGGUUUUUGCGUUUGAAAAAUUAUUAAAUAAUUUUAAUUUAAGCAUUUCCGGCGCAAUUAAAAUAUUUUAUAAUAAUAUGCAAAUAAUUCGGGCCGGUUUUAGGGCAAAAUAAAAGGAUUUUAACGAAAUUUAAAUAUAUUAUCAUAUAAAAUAUAAAUUUACGGCAAUUAAUUUAAAGCGGAAAAAUUGCGGUGGAAUAUUUAUCAACGAAUUUUAUACCUGCGGAGGGAUUAACGAAAACGUUUAUUCGAUCGCAAUUUGAAUAUUUUCGAAAAUUAUUAAAUUUAUAUAAUAUAUUGAAAAUGUAAAAAAAAAACAGAAUUUACUAAAUUUAUAUAUCCGGGAUCGCGGAAUAUUUGCUAUUUUUACCGCGUAAUUGCUACGGUUAAUAUAUAUUUAUUAAAUAUAUUAUAUUUUUAUUACGUUUAAUAUUUAUUAAUUGUACGUAAUACAAAUAAAAAACGUUUUUUGUUAAAAAAAGUAAAAACAAAAUUUCUUUUAAAAAUUGCUAAAAAUUAAAAUAUAGGACGAAUUGCGGCGCAUUUUAUAUUUUUGCGCCAUAAUAGGGUAUUAUAAUUUAAAAAUAAACGCCCUAUCAAAAUACCGCCGGAAAACAACCAAACCGUCCGAAAAAAACAAACCUUUCAAAUUACAACGGCCACCGCUAUUAAACCGCAAAAAAAUUGUUUGUACCGCAAAAUAUUUAUAACACGCGUUUUAAAUUUUUUCCGGCAAUAUAAAUUAUAAAAAUUUCCGUUCGAUUUAUCGAAAAAAUAUCGAUUUUCGCGGCCGCAAUACCAAUUAUUUUAUUUUGAAAAUUUUAUUGCGUUUGCGGAAAAUUAAAAAAAUAAAACAGACGCAAUUAAUAAUAAUAAGUUUGUAACGUAUUUUUGUAUUUUUAUUUUUACGCGCGAUAAUAACCGCGUUAAGUAUAAAGCGGAAAUUAAAAAAGUUAAUUGGUUAAUAUAAAAUCGCGGUUAAACAAAUGGUUUGUUCCGUUUAUAUUAAUUUAUAUUUGCGGUAUUUUAAUAAUAAAUCCAACAUAUACAUUUCCCAUUUGUGGCCAAUUUGGUUUUAAAAUUAUAAUAAACCGGUUCGUUAUAACUUUUAUUAUUUAUUACGGAUGAUAUGCAACAUUAGCAAUAAUUUUCGGAAACGCGUUUACCGGCGCGUUUCGCCGAAUUAAAAUCAGCGUUAAUAAAUUAAUAACCGAUCUAACUUAUUUUCCGUCAAUUGAACUAAAAAUGGAAUUUAAUUUUACAAUUUGCGCCGUAAAAAUUUUAAUAACCAAUUUAAUCCGGGUUUUUUUACGUUUGGCGGCGCGGCGGUCCUCCCUUUUUUCCAUUCGCUUUAUUAUAAGGUAUUUGUUUCCAAAAAAAAUACCCGCAAAAGUUUUUCUAAAAAAGGUUUAAUACAGAUUUUAUUUAAAAUUAAAUAGUUAAUUUAUUUUCUUAUAUUUGUCCACAAAUCCCAAUUUUUAAACGACUUUUUUCCGGUCAAAAUUUUUAAAUUUGGGUAAAAGUUCGGGCGUAAACGCCGAAAACCUGGACUUUGCAUAUAUAUUUUAUUAAAGAUUAUUAUUAAAAUUAAAUUAACUAUAAUUUAAAAUAUUUGCGCCAGAAAAACCCAAAACAAAAUGCGAUAUUAUAUUUUAAAACCAAAAUAAUCCGAAAACAUUAAAUUUGAAUAAAAUUAAUUGCAAUAUUAAUUUACGUAUUGCGAACGCCGAAAUAACGGUGCAAUUAGGAAAAUCGCGUUGCAAUAAUACCAAAUCGCCCGAAAUUUCAAGAAAACAAAUUUAAAAAGCAAAAAUUAAAUUGCAAACAAUUAAAAAACGUAACCAAACGGCCGCAAAUUUUUAAAAUUAUAUUUUUUUAUGUUUUUUAAUCUUAUUUUUCCUUUAUUAAUUUACUUUUAUUUUACUUUGAAUUUAUCUUUUCCUGCAGUGGUCCGAACGGUUGGAUUUGGUAUUUGCGCGCCGGAUCGGGGAUAUAUCGCGUAUGAAACUACGGCAAUUAAUUAUAGAAACGUACCAUCCAAUUGUUAAUAAAACAUUUAACCAUAUUUGAUCUGAAUUGGGCUAAAACCAGCUAAAUUAUCAAUAACGGUUUUAUUUCCGUUUUUUAUUCGAAAUAUAAUAUUUAUUUAUUUAAUUUAACGGUUUUUUUAUUUAAGAACGAUUUUGCAACGCGUAUAGCAUUUUUUCACUUUAUUUUUUUAAGACUGAAUUGGUAUUAUAGGGAGGUUUGUUCGAUUAUAUAAACCCAGUUGAAUAAAUAUAUUUGUUUGAAUAAAAUAAAUAGAAAAUAACGGUUAUUAUAUUAUGUAUAUAAUAUUAUUUGGGUUUAUUACAAAACCCCGUAUAUUUAUUUUCGGAAUUUCCGAAUUUUUAUUUUCGUUGGAAUUUUAAUUUGGUAUAAAUUCCGAAAAACCCCUAAAUUUCUAAAUUGCAAAAAAAAUAAUUUCGAUCGCCCCCGUUUUCAUAUUUUAAUUUCGUUUAUUUUAUCAUUUGUUUUUCGGAAUAAUAUUUAUUAAUUCCUUUAUUAAUUUUAAAAAUAACAUUUUAGUAUUCCGUUCGUUUAAUAUUAGAACUGUGUUAAACAUUCCUUUAAAUUUAAAUAAAUUUUUUUAUUUAAUUUGAAUAUUUUUGUAAAUCGUUUAUUUUAUAUACCGCUCGUUUUCUUUUUGAUAAUAUAAUAUUGUUUAUUUCCAAAUUACUUUUUAAUAUAUUUGAAAAUUAAUAUAUUAUAUAAUUUAAAAUAUUUUUGGUUCCGACCAACAAAAUAUUUUUGGUAUUUAUAAAAAAUAUCUUUUUCGUUUUCGUUAUAUUAGUUAAUAAUUUUUGAUAUUUAUAUUUAUUCGAGUUAUUGUUAAUUUUGCCGGAUUUUUAAAAAAAAGCCCGUAAAAAUUAUUAUAAUAAAAAUCUGCCUCGACUUUUUCUUUAAAACACGCUGGUAAUUUUAAUAUUAAUAUAAUUAUAUUAAAAUGGAUUUACUUUAUAUUUUAUCGUUUGUUAUCGCUUUAGAAACCCGAUUUUGCGCUUAUUAUACCGUAUUUUAUUUUUUAUAGAAUAUUAUUACUUCGUUUAAAUAAGUUAUUAAUUACAAAACAAUUAGUUUAAAUAAUAAAAUCCAAAGUUUUUAAUUGGUUAGGACGGAUAUCUUCUUUGUAUUUUUUUGCGUAACGUUUGUAUAAACGUUAUACGCUUAAUAUAAAAACUUCAAUUUAUAUUAACGGUCUUCUAAUAUUAUCCGUAAAAUAUUUUAUUAGCUUUAAAUAUUUGUAAAAUAACAGUAUUAACGAUUUAUCCUUUUAUUUUGUUUUUUGUAUUAUUCCAAUAAUAUUAGUUAAUUUUAAUUGGUUUUUCGUAUAUAAAUCAAUUAACAAACGUUAUUAUGGGUAAAAGAUAAUAUACUUUUAUUUUAUAAUUAUAUUAUUUACGUUCGAAUUCUUAAUUGUGUUUUUCCCUUUUUAUACCCUUGGUAGAGGAUUAAAUAAGUUAUGUGCGGGUCCUGUGGGGCGUCCUAAGUAAGUUAUUAAUUAAAUUAAUAAGUCGAACGCAAUUUCUUAUAUUCUAACAAAAUAACUAGUAUUAUUAAACGGCUGGGAUAUAAAUUAUUUGUUCAAAUGGGAAAAUAAAUAGAAAGUUGAUAAUAUAAUAAAAAAUAAUUAUUUUGUAAGAUUAUUAGUAUAUAUAAUAUUAUAAUAUAAAUACUGUAAAUAAAUAUUGUUUAUAUUAAUAUUAAAUUUUAUAUAAAAGGUUGUAAUUUAAAAUAUAAAAUAUACUCCCAAUUAAUUCUUUUA
rnacentral:sRNA from 1 species